AGAGUUUGAUCCUGGCUCAGAACGAACGCUGGCGGCAGGCUUAACACAUGCAAGUCGAACGCAUCCUUCGGGGUGAGUGGCAGACGGGUGAGUAACGCGUGGGAACGUGCCCUUCAGUUCGGAAUAACCCAGGGAAACUUGGGCUAAUACCGGAUACGUGCGAGAGCAGAAAGAUUUAUCGCUGAAGGAUCGGCCCGCGUCUGAUUAGCUAGUUGGUGGGGUAAUGGCCCACCAAGGCGACGAUCAGUAGCUGGUCUGAGAGGAUGAUCAGCCACAUUGGGACUGAGACACGGCCCAAACUCCUACGGGAGGCAGCAGUGGGGAAUAUUGGACAAUGGGCGCAAGCCUGAUCCAGCCAUGCCGCGUGAGUGAUGAAGGCCUUAGGGUUGUAAAGCUCUUUCAGCGGGGACGAUAAUGACGGUACCCGCAGAAGAAGCCCCGGCUAACUUCGUGCCAGCAGCCGCGGUAAUACGAAGGGGGCUAGCGUUGUUCGGAAUCACUGGGCGUAAAGGGCGCGUAGGCGGCUUUGUAAGUCGGGGGUGAAACCUGUGGCUCAACCACAGAAUUGCCUUCGAUACUGCAUGGCUUGAGACCGGAAGAGGUAAGUGGAACUGCGAGUGUAGAGGUGAAAUUCGUAGAUAUUCGCAAGAACACCAGUGGCGAAGGCGGCUUACUGGUCCGGUUCUGNNGCUGANNNGCGAAAGCGUGGGGAGCAAACAGGAUUAGAUACCCUAGUAGUCC
rnacentral:rRNA from 1 species